rnacentral:tRNA from 1 species
GAGGGUAUGGCUCUAGUGGUAGAGCACAUGAUUAGCACACACAAGGUCCUGGGUUCAAUCCCCAGUAUUUCCU